UCAUGAACAUAUUGAGCUGGUUGACCAAAU
rnacentral:piRNA from 1 species